CUUUAAUUAAAAUAACUUCCCCUCCCUCUUGCAAUGACUUCUCUUCUCUUCUCUGAUGACGUGUUUACUGGAGCGAGAGCGGCACAACCUGUCAAUCACAUGAUAUUACAACAAUGGCCGAGUUUCACUCGAAUAUACAUCACAAAAGGGAAGAAAGACUCACAACUACUGUUUCAUGUCAACUUUAAGGGUCUGAUGUCAUGUGUUUGUUUUCACACAUUGACCGCAAGUUUGUUUGUCACUGGCUUUAAAAAGAAGACGAGUGCUGACUAUAUCUACAACGAACAAGGAACAAGAUCAUUUAAUGUUUGACGGUUAAAGAGCAGUCUGAUGAUAUUUAUGAAGAUGUGAUCAGGACUGAGUCUGAGGGAAUGAACACAGACAGAGUGGAGAUGACAGUGGUAAUCUAUGAGAGUGCAGAAUGUGUGAGAGAUCAUGACUUCAGGACAGAGACAAACACACACCAACCACUUCAGCGUACAGGAAGUGAUUAUGUGAGGAACAGAAGCUCCAGAGCAGCUGCAGUGUGUUUGGUGCUGCUGUGUGUUCUUCUGCUGACUGCAGUCAUAGUGCUGUGUGUCCACAUCCAUACAAAGAGCUCAAACAACACACAAGAGACACACCAGCUACUAACUAACAUCGCCAACCUCACAGAAGAGAGAGACCAGCUACUAAACAAGAACAUAGCCUUGACAAAUGAAAGGGAUGAAUUAACUAAAGAAAGAGACCAGUUCAAUCAGAAGAGAAAUGAACUGUGGAAGAUGCUCAAUGAAAUUGGUGGAUAUAUUUAUCAAUCCAGUCUUUACUUCAUUUCUUCUGAGAAGAGGAACUGGGCUGAGAGCAGAAGAUACUGUACAGAGAGAGGAGCAGAUCUAAUCAUCAUCAACAACAAAGAGGAACAAGAGUUUGUUAAAAAGAUGUCUGAUGGUGCUGGAGUCUGGAUUGGUCUGACUGACAGUGAUGUGGAG